rnacentral:rRNA from 1 species
ACGGGUGAGUAACGCGUGAAUUACCUACCCUAGGGAGGGGGAUAACGCCUGGAAACGGGUGCUAAUACCCCAUAGGCCGGGAGGUUCAAGGGAGUAAUCUGCCCUAGGAUGGGUUCGCGUCCUAUCAGCUAGUUGGUGGGGUAAUGGCCUACCAAGGCGAAGACGGGUAGCCGGUCUGAGAGGAUGUACGGCCACACUGGAACUGAGACACGGUCCAGACUCCUACGGGAGGCAGCAGUGGGGAAUAUUGGGCAAUGGGCGCAAGCCUGACCCAGCGACGCCGCGUGAGGGAAGAAGGCCUUUGGGUUGUAAACCUCUGUUGUACGGGAAGAAGGCAGUGACGGUACCGUACGAGGAAGCCCCGGCAAGCUACGUGCCAGCAGCCGCGGUAAUACGUAGGGGGCGAGCGUUGUCCGGAAUUACUGGGCGUAAAGGGCGCGCAGGCGGAUAUGCAAGUCUGCUGUGUAAUGUCACGGUUCAAGCGUGUCAUUGCGGUGGACACUGCAUAUCUGGAGUACUGGAGAGGGGAGUGGAAUUCCCGGUGUCACGGUGACAUGCGUAGAUCUCGGGAGGAACCACACUGCGCGAACGCGGCUCUCUGGCCAGUUACUGACGCUCCAUGCGCGAAAGCUGGGGGAGCGAACCGGAUUAGAUACCCGGGUCAGUCCCAGCCGUAGACGAUGAAUGCUAGGUGUGGGUGUCGAAGGGCAUCUGUGCCGCAGUUAACGCGAUAAGCAUUCCGCCUGGGGAGUACGGUCGCAAGGAUUGAAACUCAAAGGAAGUGACGGGGGGCCCGCACAAGCGGUGGAGCACGUGGUGUAAUUCGAGGCAAAGCGCGAAGAACCUUACCUGGGUUUGACAUGUACGUGGUACUGACCCGAAAGGGGAGGGACCCAUACUUCGGUAUGGGAGCGUACACAGGUGCUGCAUGGCUGUCGUCAGCUCGUGUCGUGAGAUGUUGGGUUAAGUCCCGCAACGAGCGCAACCCCUGCAUCUAGUUGCCAACGGGUGAAGCUGGGCACUCUAGAUGGACUGCCGGCGACAAGCCGGAGGAAGUUGGGGAUGACGUCAAGUCAUCAUAGCCCUUAUGUCCAGGGCGACACACGUGCUACAAUGGCCGGUACAGCGGGAAGCGAAGGGGAGACCUGGAGCGGAUCUCUGAAAGCCGGUCCCAGUUCGGAUUGUAGUCUGCAACUCGA